ensembl:miRNA MIR3180-5 microRNA 3180-5
GCUCCGCCCCACGUCGCAUGCGCCCCGGGAACGCGUGGGGCGGAGCUUCCGGAGGCCCCGCCCUGCUGCCGACCCUGUGGAGCGGAGGGUGAAGCCUCCGGAUGCCAGUCCCUCAUCGCUGGCCCGGUCGCGCUGUGGCGAAGGGGGCGGAGC